GCUGCUGCUGCAACCGAUGCAUAGUGAGAAGCCAUGGCUUUGAAUCCCUGGAAGGUUCCUGACGUCCUAUAAUGAAAAGGCUCCCUGGGUGUUUAACAUGAGGACCUGAUCUCUUCUGCUGCCAUCUAGUGGACACAUUAAAUAUUCAACAAAGGUGUUUUCAUGUUUUGACAUUUUGCUUUAAAAAUACCAAUGAUUCCUUUCCUGCUUUGUGAGCCCUAAUCAGUUUUCCUGUUGUCGGAUUAUUUUUUCAU